AGAGUUUGAUCCUGGCUCAGAUUGAACGCUGGCGGCAUGCUUUACACAUGCAAGUCGAACGGCAGCGGGGGCUUCGGCCCGCCGGCGAGUGGCGAACGGGUGAGUAAUGCAUCGGAACGUACCCAGUCGUGGGGGAUAACUACGCGAAAGCGUAGCUAAUACCGCAUACGUCCUGAGGGAGAAAGCGGGGGACCGAAAGGCCUCGCGCGAUUGGAGCGGCCGAUGUCGGAUUAGCUAGUUGGUGGGGUAAAGGCCUACCAAGGCGACGAUCCGUAGCGGGUCUGAGAGGAUGAUCCGCCACACUGGGACUGAGACACGGCCCAGACUCCUACGGGAGGCAGCAGUGGGGAAUUUUGGACAAUGGGGGCAACCCUGAUCCAGCCAUGCCGCGUGAGUGAAGAAGGCCUUCGGGUUGUAAAGCUCUUUCAGACGGAAAGAAAUCGCGCGGGUGAAUAUCCUGCGUGGAUGACGGUACUGUCAGAAGAGGCACCGGCUAACUACGUGCCAGCAGCCGCGGUAAUAC
rnacentral:rRNA from 1 species